CGAAUUGGGACAGCCGUCGUUGCGUGGCGGUGACAUAAUCGCACUUAAAAUGCGUACUUCAAGCGUGCAGACCCUGAAUUGGGACACAGCCAUUGGGUAGGAUGUUUUGUCGGGUAGGAUGGAUUCCCAGAACACCUGUUCACACCUGCGCUGCAAGGCCCUGCAAGGAGGAGAGGAGGAUGGCAGCACAAAGGAAGAACCUGGAUAUAAGAAAGUAUUUUUCAAAGAAACCUGUGACAGAAGAACCAACACAAAGCUCAGAGAGUAAUGGUGAUACAAGAUCACAGGUGAAAUUGGAUGAUGACCUAGUGGUUCAUGACUGUAUUUGAAGCACAUGUGUGACUGCAUGUAUUUGGAGUGUCUCACUGUUAU
ensembl:lncRNA